rnacentral:rRNA from 1 species
AACGAACGCUGGCGGCAGGCUUAACACAUGCAAGUCGAGCGCCCCGCAAGGGGAGCGGCCGACGGGUGAGUAACGCGUGGGAACGUACCUUUUGGUUCGGAACAACUCCGGGAAACUGGAGCUAAUACCGGAUAAGCCCUAACGGGGAAAGAUUUAUCGCCGAAAGAUCGGCCCGCGUCUGAUUAGCUAGUUGGUGAGGUAACGGCUCACCGAGGCGACGAUCAGUAGCUGGUCUGAGAGGAUGAUCAGCCACACUGGGACUGAGACACGGCCCAGACUCCUACGGGAGGCAGCAGUGGGGAAUAUUGGACAAUGGGCGCAAGCCUGAUCCAGCCAUGCCGCGUGAGUGAUGAAGGCCUUAGGGUUGUAAAGCUCUUUUGUCCGGGAAGAUAAUGACUGUACCGGAAGAAUAAGCCCCGGCUAACUUCGUG